AUUGAACGCUGGCGGCAGGCCUAACACAUGCAAGUCGAACGAGUGGCGGACGGGAGAGUAAUGUCUGGGAAACUGCCUGAUGGAGGGGGUUAACUACUGGAAACGGUAGCUAAUACCGCAUACCUUCAGAUGCGCCCAGUUGGGCGUAGCUUGUUGGUGGGGUAACGGCUCACCAAGGCGACGAUCCCUAGCUGGUCCGAGAGGAUGACCAGCCAAACUGGAAUUGAGACACGGUCCAGACUCCUACGGGAGGCAGCAGUGGGGAAUAUUGCACAAGGGGCGCAAGCCUGAUGAAGCCAUGCCGCGUGUAUGAAGAAGGCCUUCGGGUUGUAAAGUACUUUCAGCGGGGAGGCGUUACCCGCAGAAGAAGCACCGGCUAACUCCGUGCCAGCCGCCGCGGUAAUAC
rnacentral:rRNA from 1 species